rnacentral:rRNA from 1 species
AGAUUGAACGCUGGCGGCAGGCCUAACACAUGCAAGUCGAGCGGUAGAGAGGCGCUUGCACCUCUUGAGAGCGGCGGACGGGUGAGUAAUGCCUAGGAAUCUGCCUAGUGGUGGGGGAUAACGUUCGGAAACGGACGCUAAUACCGCAUACGUCCUACGGGAGAAAGCGGGGGACCUUCGGGCCUCGCGCCAUUAGAUGAGCCUAGGUCGGAUUAGCUAGUUGGUGAGGUAAUGGCUCACCAAGGCGACGAUCAGUAGCUGGUCUGAGAGGAUGACCAGCCACAUUGGGACUGAGACACGGCCCAAACUCCUACGGGAGGCAGCAGUGGGGAAUCUUGCGCAAUGGGCGAAAGCCUGACGCAGCCA